rnacentral:rRNA from 1 species
GACGAACCGUACGAACGUUAUUCGGAAUCACUGGGCUUAAAGGGUGCGUAGGCGGCGGCGCAAGUUGGGUGUGAAAUCCCUCGGCUCAACCGAGGAACUGCGCCCCAAAACUGUCGUGCUCGAGGGAGACAGAGGUGAGCGGAACUUAGGGUGGAGCGGUGAAAUGCGUUGAUAUCCUAAGGAACACCGGUGGCGAAAGCGGCUCACUGGGUCUCUGCUGACGCUGAGGCACGAAAGCUAGGGUAGCGAACGGG